GCCCCCUUCGUCUAGUGGCCUAGGACUCCGGGUUCUCAGUCCGGCAGCAGGGGUUCGACUCCCCUAGGGGGUG
rnacentral:tRNA from 2 species